rnacentral:SRP_RNA from 1 species
UCGCGCAGCCGGGGAGAUAGCGGUGCCCUGUACCUGCAACCCGCUACAGCAGGGGUGAUGAUCUGCCCCGGGCGGUAGGUGCUAUGCUGCCCCAUAUAAGUGGUGUUGACGUUUGGGUCUUGCACAACGGAAGCCUGUGAACCGUGUCAGGGUAGGAAUACAGCAGCACUAAGCAGUGUAUUCUGUGUGUUGCGAGGGUGCCUGGAUCGAGCUAACUGUAUGGGUAACGGUGGUAUCUGUCGUUCAAAGCAGAUCGCGCGG